rnacentral:rRNA from 1 species
UACGGAGGGGGCUAGCGUUGUUCGGAAUUACUGGGCGUAAAGCGCACGUAGGCGGCUUUGUAAGUUAGAGGUGAAAGCCCGGGGCUCAACUCCGGAAUUGCCUUUAAGACUGCAUCGCUAGAACGUCGGAGAGGAAGGCGGAAUUCUCGGUGUAGAGGUGAAAUUCGUAGAUAUCGAGAGGAACACCGGUGGCGAAGGCGGCCUUCUGGACAGCAACUGACGCUGAGACGCGAAAGCGUGGGGAGCAAACAGG